CAUGGGUCAGACAAGUGAACCUUUGGUACCAAGUCUCAAAGGCCACGCUGACAGCAAACAUCAAGGGCAGGGGUGAAGGGUGAACCCAAAAAGCGGCUUGAGAAACUUCGUCUGCUAAGGGAAUGACACAGCCGGAGGAGCGGGCCAUCGGGAAAGCACACGGUGGCCAAAUUCAGCAGAAGAAUGCCAGUCGUAACUCAAGAACCCACUGUACAUAAAUGAAUCAAUCCAAGCGAGCACUGGGUGCUGGAAGGGUCAAGGCUGGGGCCUGACAACCCCGCUGGGGCAGAACACGUGCCCAAGGCCCUGGCGCCGAGAAAUAAAUAAAAAUUAAAGCCCCGGCCUGCUGAAUUCAGGGAGGACGCGUCCCAGCAUGCAGGCUCCUGCGGUCAGCAAUCUCGGGCUGGACAUCAGAGUGUGGCCGGGGGACCUCAGAGGCCGGGAGACUCCCCAGGGCCCACGAGCCCCACCCACGUGUCAGGGUGCAGCCAGCAUGCCCACAGCCCCAGACUGGGGACCAGCAGGAUCCCCAGCCUGCUUAUCCAGACGCAAAGCGUGGGGCGAUUAAGCAACGACAGGCCACUCGUAGCAUGAAGUUUUACUUUGUUUUCUGCUGUUGUUGGUUUUUGAGGCAGUGUCUGGCUAUGUAGCUCAAGCUGGCCUUGAAUUCAGAGCAGAGCAUCCUGCCUCAGCCUCCCAGUGCUGAGAUCACAAGCCUGCGCCCAGCUUAGAGUGAGGAGCAGACCUGGCUGCGGUGCUGAGCUCCGGCUCUCAUCGGCCCCUCUUCCAGCCCCCAUGCUCAGAAACUGUCACUCUUCUGUGAGACACGCACCGGCACCUAAUGAGCACCCAGCAGCGCCAGGCCGAGGUCAUCUCUUCAGAGCAGCGCGGCCUCGUCUAACUGGACAUGCAAGCAAAACCUUUCCCUGCUGCAAAACCAGCAAGGCCGCAGUUAGUAUUAUUAAGAGCAGAGGGCGGAGAAGCUGGGAAUGGGCCCCUGGACAACGCAUCUCUUCCUUGAUUGUAGCCCUGCCGCUGCCUGAAUGCUAGAUUCGUUACUGAAUAAUGAUGAAAAGGCAUCCAAAACAUUAAGUUACUUGUCCACCAGAGCAGUAGAAGAUUCUUCACAUCACCUUCCAGUGGCUCAAUUCAGUCUUUGGAAAGGAGCAGAAUGAGUGAAAUACUGAAAACCAAAGCGAAGAAAACUUCAUUUGGAACUGUCUGUCUCCUUGACUACUCCUCACUCCCUACUACUUUCUACUUGUAAUUUUGCUGCAUUUAUAAAUAGUGAAGACCAAAAAAAUAGAACAUAUCUUUAGGAGCUAUAUACCAAGAAAUUUACCUUGAAAGCUGCUAUUCUCUAGAGGAAAAGUUUCAAGUUCC